rnacentral:rRNA from 1 species
GGUGAACCUGCGGAAGGAUCAUUACAGAGUUCAUGCCCUUCGGGGUAGACCUCCCACCCUUGAGUACUAUACUUUUGUUGCUUUGGCAGGCCGUCAGGUUUACGCCUGGCUACCGGCUCCGGCUGGUAAGUGUCUGCCAGAGGACCUAAACUCUGAAUUUUAUGUCGUCCGAGUACUAUAUAAUAGUUAAAACUUUCAACAACGGAUCUCUUGGUUCUGGCAUCGAUGAAGAACGCAGCGAAAUGCGAUAAGUAAUGUGAAUUGCAGAAUUCAGUGAAUCAUCGAAUCUUUGAACGCACAUUGCGCCCCUUGGUAUUCCGAGGGGCAUGCCCGUUCGAGCGUCAUCAACACCAUCAAGCCUGGCUUGGUAUUGGGCCUUGCCUGUAACACGGCCGGCUUUAAAAUCAGUGGCGGUGCCGCCUGGCUCUAAGCGUAGUAACUUUUCUCGCUAUUGUGCCCGGCGGUUGCUURCCAACAACCCCUAAUUUAAUAGAUUUGACCUCGGAUCGGGUAGGGAUACCCGCUGAACUUAAGCAUAUCAAUAAGCGGAGGA